AAAAAUCAACUCAAGAAUCUACAAAACCCAAUUAAAACUCAAAAAAUUCAAAACCCAAUUCAAUUGAACACUCUCACUCUCAUUCUAUAAUUUCUUUCUAUCUUUCAUUUUCUCCAUUUACAACUCAAGAAUCUACAAAACCAAAUUAAAUCUGAUAGUGAUUUUUCUUAAUAGGGUUAAAUAUUUUGAGGAUAAUAUGGUCAUUUACCCCACAAAAAUAACGCCAUUUUGCCUCAUUU
rnacentral:lncRNA from 1 species